rnacentral:rRNA from 1 species
GACGAACGCUGGCGGCGUGCUUAACACAUGCAAGUCGAACGGAAAGGCCCUGCUUUUGUGGGGUGCUCGAGUUGCGAACGGGUGAGUAACACGUGAGUAACCUGCCCUUGACUUUGGGAUAACUUCAGGAAACUGGGGCUAAUACCGGAUAGGAGCUCCUGCUGCAUGGCGGGGGUUGGAAAGUUUCGGCGGUUGGGGAUGGACUCGCGUCUUAUCAGCUUGUUGGUGGGGUAGUGGCUUACCAAGGCUUUGACGGGUAGCCGGCCUGAGAGGGUGACCGGCCACACUGGGACUGAGAUAAGGCACAGACUCCUACGGGAGGCAGCAGUGGGGAAGAUUGCACAAUGGGCGGAAGCCUGAUGCAGCAAAGCCGCGUGCGGGAUGACGGCAUUCGGGUUGUAAACCGCUUUCGCCUGUGACGAAGCGUGAGUGACGGUAAUGGGUAAAGAAGCACCGGCUAACUACGUG